rnacentral:lncRNA from 1 species
GGUAACUUUGGCUCGUGUGUGUGUGUGUGUGUGUGUGUGUACAUGUCUGUGUGGGAGAGGAGAGAAAGAGGAAAGAGACUAGUUGGUUUUUUUAUUGUGUUCAUGUGUAUGAUGAGUGUGUGUGUGUGUGUGCGCACACAUGCACGCAUGCUUACACAUGCUUGGUUCAUGAUCAUGUAUGUUUGUAUACACACAAAGGUUAGAUACCAAUGAUAAGUGUCUUUUUCAAUUACUUGCCAUCUUUUUGUUAAUAUUUAAUAAUAAAAAAAAGAAAACAUUGUGUGUGAGUGUUUGCCCACAUGUAUCAAAGUGUAAUCGUGAAUGCCUGUUGCCCACAGAAACCAAAGGUGGACAUCAAAUCUCCUGGAACUGGAGUUACAAGUGGGUCACGGUCCUGAGCUGUUCAGGAACCAAGUCCAGGUCCCAAGCAAGAGCAAACAUCUCUCUACUCCUUCCAUCUUAGUGUCUAAGCCAGGGCCUCUCACUGAACCUGAUACCUGCCCACUCAGCUCGACUGGCUGGCCAGCAGGCCCCAGGGAUUACAGAUACACACCAUUGCACUCUCAUCGCCCAAGGCCACCAAGAAGGCCAAGAACUGUUUUAAUGAACACAUUGGCCCAUUCUGUUGCCAGUGUGCCUUUCUUAACCUUUGGAAGUAAGACUUUUAUUAAAGGAACUUGUGUAAUCCAAAGGUUUUGCACUGACAAAUUACAAUCAGUUCAUCCAGCCUUCCUAGAAAACUGAUAUCCACUAACAUCUUGCUUAAAAACAUCUCAAAACUUUCGUGGAGCUACUUUUAAUAAGAUGUCUAUUAAAAGGUCCUGGCCUUGCUUGCCAGGUUUCUCCUGAGCUUUGUGAGAUGUCUGGAUGUUAAACUGAAUUAUAGGAGAGUCAAGUAUCACCUGACGUUUUAUGUCACAUAAACACGACUCUUCAUCAUGUGUCACAGGAAUCAGCUCACCUUGGGUUACAGAUGGUUAGAAAUAUGACAGCGCGUUCCUUUUACCAGUAUUAGGAAGACAUAGAAGAAUCUCAAGUUCAAGGCUAGCCUGAGCUACAAAGUGAGCCCAUGUCUCAGAGAACAGCAGGAUAGAAAAAAGGAUGGAACCUUUGCGGUUGUUGACUGUACACUUUAGAUUGUGGGUAAAGGAGAUUGUGUUGUGACAGGACACUCUGAAGACAAGUGUCUCUCAAAAAAAGUCUUUGCCUCUUACCCUUCUGAAUAAUCUUGACUGGAAAAAACUGGUCUACAACCCUGUCCAUGACCAAGAUCUUAGGGGGAAAAAAAAACCUUUUAGGAAAACAUGUACUUGAGACAGCUUUCUGGUGUGUCUUCAUAGCGAAUUUUACUGUGAUGUAGUUUUUCCCUACAAGCUGAAUUUUACGUGUAGGGCUCAUGUUUGGAGGUUGUAAGCUUCACCAGGGGCACCUCCUUCUCCAGGCUGCUCUUGAGGGGGCUGCUUCCAGCUGUAACUCUUGUGUGUGUUUUCAGAUGGCAAGCCUUUAUCAUUUUUGCCCUCAGCAAUGACGAAGACGAAUAUAAUUAGGAAAAUAAUUGGGAAAGGCUUUCAAGUUAAUCCAGAUGUCACCCGCAUAGAGACAUCUCUGGAUCACUUCCCUUGGCUCGUUAAUGGAGCAGUUUAAUUUGUACACCAGCAGCAUGCUAACAAGUUCAUCCAUUUGUCGGGGUCCUCCCUACGACAGUCCCAUUCAUCAGUUUUUAGUACACUUAACUGAUGGGAGACGUGUGGGCAGGUGUCUUGGCCUCUGGGGAUGCGUUUUGGUUCCCCCUUUGUUGUUCUCUUGUUGGGCUGUUAUAACUUACUAAUUUUUCUGCCUCUAACUACUCCGUCCCCCUCCUUAACAUGAGUAAUAUUUGGAUUUGAAAUGGAAGUUUAAACACUGAAAAUGUCCAGGUUUUCCCCUGGAAGAGCAGCUGUUUUCUCUGGAAAGAUUUAGCCUUAAAUUAUGAAUGUCUUUUCAGGUCUCUUGGAAUUAUUCUAUUCUUAGCUUGAGUUCACUGAGUUACAGAUUUUAAAAUCUAUAAACCUGUUUUAGCUGUGCAUAUAUGUAUAUUUGUAUGUAUAUUUUUAAAAAGAAC